UACGGAGGGUGCAAGCGUUAAUCGGAAUUACUGGGCGUAAAGGGUGCGUAGGUGGUUUAUUAAGUUAGGUGUAAAAUUCCUGGGCUUAACCUGGGCUUGAGACUUAAAACUGAUAGACUAGAGUAUAGGAGAGGGUAGUGGAAUUUCCGGUGUAGCGGUGAAAUGCGUAGAGAUCGGAAGGAACACCAGUGGCGAAGGCGGCUACCUGGCCAGAUACUGACACUGAAGCACGAAAGCGUGGGGAGCAAACAGG
rnacentral:rRNA from 1 species